rnacentral:pre_miRNA from 1 species
AAUAAGUGCAGUCGUGGAUAUCCGUGUCCAACGUUUGACCGUCCGUCUUAUUUGAAAAUUUUAAAAAUAUUUAGUCACACAUAAAGUACUAUUCAUGUUUUAUCAUCUAAUAGUAAUAAAAAUACUAAUCAUAAAAAAUUUUCAAAUAAAACGAACGGUCAAAUGUUAAACGUGAAUAGUGUAAAACUGCACUUAUU